GACGAACGCUGGCGGCGUGCCUAACACAUGCAAGUCGAACGGGACCAGGGGCAACUCUGGUUCAGUGGCGGACGGGUGCGUAACACGUGAGGAACAUGACCUUCGGCGGGGGAUAGCCGGCCCAACGGCCGGGUAAUACCGCGUACGACCCUUCGGGGACCUCCCUGGAUGGUGAAGGCAGCAAUGCGCCGAUGGAGUGCCUCGCGGCCUAUCAGCUAGUUGGUGGGGUAACGGCCUACCAAGGCGACGACGGGUAGCUGGUCUGAGAGGAUGGCCAGCCACAUUGGGACUGAGACACGGCCCAGACUCCUACGGGAGGCAGCAGUGGGGAAUAUUGCGCAAUGGACGAAAGUCUGACGCAGCGACGCCGCGUGUGGGAUGACGGUCUUCGGAUUGUAAACCACUGUCGGGAGGGACGAAUACGCCGCAAGGCGGGUGACGGUACCUCCAAAGGAAGCACCGGCUAACUACGUGCCAGCCGCCGCCGUAAAAC
rnacentral:rRNA from 1 species